AACGUAGGAGGCGAGCGUUAUCCGGAUUUACUGGGCGUAAAGCGCGUGCAGGCGGCUGUGCAAGUUGGGUGUGAAAUCUCCCGGCUCAACUGGGAGGGGUCAUCCAAAACUGUGCGGCUUGAGGGCAGGAGAGGGAAGCGGAAUUCCCGGUGUAGCGGUAAUAUGCGCAGAUAUCGGGAGGAACACCAGUGGCGAAGGCGGCUUCCUGGCCUGUACCUGACGCUGAGACGCGAAAGCCAGGGGAGCGAACGGGAUUAGAUACCCUGGUAGU
rnacentral:rRNA from 1 species